rnacentral:lncRNA from 1 species
GAUGGGGAUUAAGGGAUAUAUCAUAGAACCCAAGGGCAAGAAUGGACAGGUCUUAGAAUGGAAUUAGAACUAGGAAAUAAUUGUCAGGAACCCUGGAAGCACUCUUUAUCCCCAUCUUUUUUCUCUCCUCUCUGUGUAUCUUUUUUAUUAUUCUUUCUUUCCUUACCAGCUUUCUCUGCUAUUCAGUUUAUGUGAUAACAGCCUAGUCACAGUUUCUGUAUCUCUGGUAAAAACAUCAGACUAGGCUGGGCGCAGUGGCUCACGCCUGUAAUCCCAGCACUUUGGGAGGCCGAGGCGGGUGAAUCAUGAAGUUAGGAGAUCGAGACCAUCCUGGCUAACACAGUGAAACCCCGUCUCUACUAAAAAUACAAAAAAAAUUAGUUGGGCUUGGUGGCAGGCGCCUGUAGUCCCAGCUACUCAGGAGGCUGAGGCAGGAGAAUGGCAUGAACCCAGGAGGCAGAGCUUGCAGUGAGCCGAGAUUGCGCCACUGUACUCCAGCCUGGGCGACUGAGCAAAGAAGAAAAAAGAUCAGACUAGACUGGGAUUGCUUGGCCUUGGUUUCAAAUUCCAAGGAGAGAGAUUCUGGCCGUAGUUAAGUCAGGCAGAAAUAUCUGUAGGCCAAUCAGUUGAGGUCAGGGGCACAAAUGUAACUGCCAGGGAUGGAUGACUAUGAAACUUAUAGAUCAGAAUCAGAAAAAUAGCAGGUCCCCAUUUUUCUGCCUCUGUACCAUUUACAUUUGCUCUCUGUUUGUUAACAUGAAGAUCACUCUUAUUUCACCAUCCCAAAUAACUUAUCUAAAUGCACAUUCCUUGAGGACACAGGGAGACAAUUUAAGUCAGUAGUUUUUAAUAUGACUUAAGUAAAAAUCACUUGGACCCAUCUAAGGGAUUGACUUUUGGCUGGUGGGCUGGCAAUUGAUAAUUUUUUUUUUUUUUUUUUUUUUUUUUUNNNNNNNNNNGAGUGCAGUGGCACGAUCUC